AGCAAUGGCGGACUCCCCUCUCCUAGCCAGGCUGCAGCCUUGCUGGUCGAUCUCAGAGUGCUGUGCUAGCCGUCAUCAAGGCUCCAUGGACAUGGGACCCGCCAAGCCCGGCACUGGAGAGAAUCGCCUGAUCUGCGGGUUGCUGAGACUGUGGGAAAAGCACAGUAUUUGGAUGGGAGUUUCCCAUUUUUUCCAGGUAAAGUCUGUCACGGAGUCCCUUGCCUAGGAAAGGGAAAUCCCCUGACCCCUUGUGCUUCCCAGGUAGGUCGAUGCCCUGCUCUGCUUCAGGUCGCCCUCCGUGUGCUGCACCCACAGUCCCAACAAGUCCCAGUGAGAUUAACCAGGUACCUCAGUUGGAAAUGCAGAAAUCACCCAUCUUCUGCCUCGAUCAUGCUGGGAGCUGCAGACCCGAGCUGAUCCUAUUCGGCCAUCUUAGAACGGAUCCCCGGUCCUCUUUAAUUUCUUUUAGCAAUGUUUGAGAGUUUUUAGUGGACAAAUCUUUCACCUCCUUGGUAAAAUAUAUUCCCAAUUUUUAUUUGUAUUCUUUUGAAUAUUAUUGUAAAUGGAAUUUAAAAAAAUCUUUUCAGUUGUUCAUUGCUUGUGUGUAGAAACACAACCGAUUUUUGUUGGUUGGCUUGUAUCAUGAAAAUUUGCUGAGUUUUGUUAUUAGCUCCCAUAGGUUUUUAAAUAAUUUUGACAGAUUUUCUAUAUACAGGAUUAUAUCAUCUGCAGAUAUAAAUAGUUUUACUUCUUUCUUUCUAAUGACAAUGCAUUUUUUUUAAUCUGCCUAAUUGUACUGGCUAUUACUUCCAGUGCAAUGUUGAAUAGCAGUGUUGAAAGCAGACAUCCUUUUCUUAUUUCUGAUCUUAAGGGGAAAGGUUUUAUUCUUUUACUAUUAAGUGUAAUUUAGUUGUGGGCUUUCCAUAAAUACCUUUUAUCAUUCUGAGGAAUUAUUGUUUCUAGUUAUUGCUUUCUGGGUGCUUUUAUUAUGAAAGUUUAUUGGAUUUUGUCAAAUGCUGUUUCUGCAUCAACUGAGAAGAUUAUGUUAUCUUUUUUCAUAUGUAUGUGUAUAUAUGUGGUAUAUUAUAUUGAUUGGUUUCUAUAAAUUUGGUAGUAAUGUCUCUACUUUUAUUUCUGAUGUUAGUUAUUUGCAUCUUUAUCUGUUUUCUAUUUAUGUAUUGCUUAAAGUUUGAUAAUGUUGUUGAUCUUUUAUAUGAAUUAUAUUUUGGUCUUUAAAAUUUUUUUCCUAUUGCUUUUCUAUUCCCUAUUUUGUUUACCUCUGUUCUGAUCUUAAUUUUUCUGUUCUUCUGCCAGCUUUGUGUUUAGUUUGCUCUUUUGUAGUUCCUAAGAGUGAAAAGUUGUGUUAUUGAUUUGAGAAGUUUUAUUUUUAAAUUUAUGCAUUUGUUGCUGUAAAAUUCCCACUGAGCAUUGUUUUCACCAUAUUUUAUAAGUUUUCAUAUGUGGUGUUUUGCUUUUCAUUUUCUUUGGGCUAUUCUCUAAUUUACCUUGUGUUUUAUUCUUAAACCAAUUGGCUGUUUAAGAGUGUUUUCUUUAAUUUCUGCAUACUUGUAAAUUUCUCAGUUUUCCUUCUGGUGUUGAUUUCUAGUUCAUUUCAUUGUCGCCAGAGAUAAUCCUUUGUGUGGUUUUGAUCUCUUUACAUUUAUUGAUACUCAUUUUGUGCCUUAAAUAUGUUCUAGGCUGAGCAUAGUGGCUCAUACUUGUAAUCCCAGCACUUGGAGAGGCCAAGGUGGGAGGAUCAUGAGCCCAGGAAUUUGAGACCUUCCUAAGCAACAUAGUGAGACCUUGUCUCUACAAAGAAAUCAACAAUUCACCAGGCAUAGUGGUGUGCACCUGUAGUCCUAGCUACUCAGGAGGCUUAGGUGAUAGGAUGGUUUGAGCUAGGGAGAUUGAGGCUUCAGUCAGCUGUGAUCAUGCCACUGCACUCUAGUCUGGGCAAUAGAGCAAAACUCUAUCUCAAAAAAAAAAAAAAAAGAUCGAUUCUAUUCUGAAGAAUGUUCCAUGCUCAUCUGAGAAAAAUAUGUAUUCUAAUGUUGUUAGGUGGAGUGUUCUAUAUAUGUUUACUAGGUUUAGUUUAUAGUGUUUUCCAUGUCCUCUCUUCUCUUGUUGAUCUUCUUUCUAAAUGUUCGAUUAUUAUUGAAAUUAGAACAUUGAAGUCAACUAUUAUUGUAAAUUGUCUAUUUCUCCCUUUAAUCCUAUCAGUGUUUGCAUAUAAUUUUGAUUCUGUUGCUUUGUGCAUGCAUGUUUAUAAUUAUUAUACAUUCUUGUUAGAUUGACCUUUUAUCAAUACAAAAUGACCUUCUUUGUUUCUCAUAACUUAUUUUUUCCCUUUCUUAUUUUCUUUUAAUUUUUAUUUUUAUUUUAAGUUCCAGGGUACACAUGCAGGAUGUGUAGGUUUGUUACAUAGAUAAACACGUGCCAUCGUGGUUUGCUGCACCUGCAACCCAUCACCUAUUAAGCCCAGCAUGCAUUAGCUAUUUUUCCUGAUGCUUUCCCUCCCCCUGCCCACCCCCAAUAGGCUCCAUUGUGUGUUGUUCCCCUCCCUGUGUCCAUGUGUUCUCAUUGUUCAGCUCCCACUUAUAAGUGAGAACAUGUGGUGUUUGGUUUUCUGUUUCUGCGUGAGUUUGCUGAGGAUAAUGGCUUCCAGCUCCAUCUAUGUCCCUGCAAAGGACAUGAUCUCCUUCCUUUUAUGGCUGCAUAGUAUUCCAUGGUGAAUAUGUACCACAUUUUCUUUAUCUGGUCUAUCAUUGAUGGGCAUUUGGGUUGAUUCCAUGUCUUUGCUAUUGUGAGUAGUGCCACUUCUUUUAACUUAAAGUGUUUUUUUUAUAAUGUUAAUAUAGUUACAUCAUCUCACUUUUGGUUACUAUUUGCAUGGAAUAGCUUUUUUCAUUAUUUUACUUCCAAAUUAUUCAAGUCUUUUGUCUCUAACCUAAGUCUAUUGCGAAUAUCAUAUAGUUGGGUCGUUCAUUUUGUACAUUCUGCCAGACUCUGUUGUUAAACUGAUGAUUAAGUCAUUUAUGUGUAAUGUGACUACUAAUCGGAAGGACUUCUGCUAUACUGUAUUUGUUUUCUGUAAGUCAUAAUUUAUUUGUUUCUCAAUUCCUCUAAUACUGACUUUUUUGUUUGAUUUUUUCUAGUGUAUUAUUUUGAUUCCCUUCUAAUUUUGUUUCCUGUGUAUAUCUUAGUUUUUUUAUAGUGUUCAUGAUGAUCAUUACAAUAGGCAUCCUAAAAUUAGAUCAACCUGGUUUGAAUUUAUGCCAAUGUAGCUUCAAUUAUGUCCAAAAUUUGUUUCUGUAUGGCUUACUUCUUUAUGUUGUUUUUGUCACAAAUUAUAUCUUUACAUUAAUCUAAUACAUUAACAUGUAUUGAUAAUUUUUGUUUCAUUAAUUUGUCUUUUAAAUCUUAUUGUAAACAAAAAGGAAUUACUAACCUAAUAUUAAUAAUAUUUGCUUUUAUAUUUAUUUAUAUAGUUACCUUUACUGAAGUUUUUUUAUUUCUUCAUGUGGCUUCAAGUUACUGUCUAAUGCCCUUUUAUCUCAAUCCAAGGGACUCUCUCUACCAUUUUAUUAGAGUCCUUCUACUGGUAAUGAAUUUUCUCAGCUUUUCUUUAUCUGGUAAUGUCUUAAUCUCUGCUUAUUCUUGAAGAAUAGUUUUACAGACAAAGAAUUUUUGUUUAACAGCUUUUUCUUUCAGGAUUUUGAAUAAGUCAGCCUACUGCCUUCUAACUCUUAUGGUUUCUGAUGAUAAAUCAUAUCUUUAAAUUAUUGAGGAUCACAUUUAUGUGUGAUGCAUUAUUGCAGAUCACUUCUUUCUUGCUCCUCUCAGGAUUCUCUCUUUCUCUUGGCUUUCAGCAGUUUGAUUAUAAUGUAUCUAGUUGUGGAGCUCUUUGAGUUUAUUCUACUUGGAGUUCAUUGGCCUUCUGGAUGUGUAGAUUCAACAGUCUAUCAAAUUUGGUAUUUUACCAUUCAGAACAUACACAUGGGCAAAGACUUCAUGACUAAAACACCAAAAGCAAUGGCAAGAAAAGCCAAAAUUGACAAAUGGGAUCUAAUUAAACUAAAGAGCUUCUGCACAUCAAAAUAAACUAUCAUCAGAGUGAACAAGCAACUUACAGAAUGGGAGAAAAUGUUUGCAAUCUAUCCAUCUGACAAAGGGCAAAUAUCCAGAAUCUACAAAGAACAUAAAACAAAUUUACAAGAAAAAAACAAACAACCCUAUCAAAAAGUGAGCAAAGGAUAUGAACAGACACUUCUCAAAAGAAGACAUUUAUGCAGCCAACAAACAUAUGAAAAAAAAGCUCAUCAUCACUCGCCAUUAGAGAAAUGCAAAUCAAAACCACAAUGAGAUACCAUCUCACGCCAGUUAGAAUGGCGAUCAUUAAAAAGUCAGGAAACAACAGAUGCUGGAGAGGAUGUGGAGAAAUAGAAAUGCUUUUACACUGUUGGUGGGAGUGUAAAUUAGUUCAAUUAUUGUGGAAGACAGUAUGGCGAUUCCUCAAGAAUCUAGAACCAGAAAUACAAUUUGACCCAGCAAUCCCUUUACUGGGUAUAUACCCAAAGGGUUAUAAAUCAUUCUACUAUAAAGACAUAUGCACACGUAUGUUUAUUGUGGCACUGUUCACAAUAGCAAAGACUUGGAACCAACCCAAAUGCCCAUCAAUGAUAGACCGGAUUCAGAAAAUGUGGUGCAUAUACACCAUGGAAUACUAUGCCGCCAUAAAAAAGGAUGAGUUUAUGUCCUUUGCAGGGAUGUGGAUGAAGCUGGAAGCCAUCAUUCUCAACAAGCUAACACAAGAACAGAAAACCAAACACUGCAAGUUAUCACUCAUAAGUUGGAGGUGAACAGUGAGAACACAUGGAUACAGGGAGGUGAACAUCACACACUGGGGCCUGCCAUGGAGUGGGGGGCUGGGGGAGAUAGCAUUAGGAGAGAUACCUAAUGUAGAUGAUGGGUUGAUGGGUGCAGCAAACCACCAUGGCAUGUGUAUACCUAUGUAACAAACUUGCACGUUCUGCACAUGUAUCCCAGAACUUAAAGUAUAAUAAAAAAAAUUUUAAAAAAGAAAACAAAUUGGUAUUUUUUGGUUGUUAUUUCUUCAAAUAUUCUUUCCACCCCAUUCUCCCUUUUCUCCCUUUUGGACCUCCAUAAUGCACAUGUUGGUAUGCUUGAAGGUGUCCCACACAACCCUUAAGGUCUGUUUAUUUUUUGUCAUUCUUAUUUUCUGUUAGCUCCUCAGAUUUGGUAAUUUACAUUGUCCUAUAUUCAAGUUCACUAGUUCUUUCUUCUGCCAGUUCAAAUAUGCUUUGUAUCCCCUCUAGUGAAAUUUUCAUUCAACUAUUAUACUUUUCAGUGUCAAAAUUUUUAUUUUAGUUCUUUUUGUAAUGUGUUUUUAUUGGUAUUAUGUUCAGAAAUCCUUUUCCUGGUUUUCUGUAGCUUUUAAUUUUUUUAAGGUUUUCUUUUUAACCUCUGUGAGCCUGUUUAAGCCAGUUGAUGCAGCUGGACAUGGUGGCUCAUGCCUGUAAUCCUAGCACUUUGGGAGGCCAAGGAGUGGGGAUCACUUGAGGUCAGGAGUUCAAGACCAACCUGGCCAACAUGGUGAAACCCCGUCUCUACUAAAAAUACAAAAAUUAGCUGGGCAUGGUGGUACAUGGCUGUAGUCCCAGCUACUCGAGGAUGGCUUGAACCUUGGAGUCAGAGGUUGCAGUGAGCAGAGAUUAUGCCACUGCACUCCAGCCUGGGCGACAGAGCAAGACUCCAUCUCAGAAAAAAAAAAAAAAAAGACAGUCUUUGUCUAGGAAGUUGAAUGUCUAGACUUCUUUGUGGAUAAUUUUUGUUUAUUUUUUCCUGUAAAUAGGCCAUACUUUCAUGGUUUUUUUUUUUGUAUGCCUUGUUUUUUGUUGAAAACUGGACAUUUUAAAUGUUAUGUGGUAACUCUGAAAAUAAGAGUUUUCUCCCCUCCCUAGGUUUGCUGUUGGUGCUUGUUAUGAGCUGUGGGCUUUCAUUUGUAUAGUGACUUUUCCAAACUAAUUUUUGCAAAAUAUAGAAUUAUUAUUUUGUGUUGUUACUGAAGUCUCCAUUUUACUAUUUCAGUGGUCAGACAGUGACCUGGCAGGGAUAGUUUUUUUUUUUUUUUUUUUUUUGUGAUGUCUAGACAAAAAAAUUAAAAAGGAGAAAAAAGAAAAAAAGAAAUGAAAAAACACACAACACAAACACGCACACACACUGCUAGUCAAGUCUUUACAGAUCGGUUUUGAAUUUGAGAACUCCUUCAAUGCUAAUAUGAAUGUAUAUUCUGUUGUUUUUGGGUAGAGUGUGUGGAGUGUUCUGUAGAUAUAUGUCAGGUCCCCUUCAUCCAGAGCUGUAUGAGGUGUCUGGUGACCUCUGUUGGGAGGUCUCACCCAGUCACGAUGCAGGAGAUCAAGGGCUUAUUUAAGGAAGCAGUCUGGCCCCUUGGCUAAGCAGGUGAGCUGUGCUGGGGGGAAUCCCACUCUUCUGGAUUGUCCGGAUUCCUCAGAGCUAGCAGGGGGACUGACUAAGUCCUCUGAAUGGGAGACUGCGGCUGGCCCUACCCCCAGGGGCUCUGUCCCAGGGGGAUCAUAGUUCUGUCUGUAAAUCCCUGGCUGGAGUUGCUAAAAUUCCCGCAAGGAGGCCCCGCCCGGUUAGGAGGGAUGGAUCCGGGUCCCACCUAUAGAAGCAGUCUGUCCAUGAUUGGUCACAGCUGCUGUGCUACACUGUGGGGAGUUCCUACUGAUCCAAACCGCCCAGUCUCCUUGGCACCCACAGGGGAUAAAGGCCUACUGGAGCCCCAGUGAUGGCAGCCAACCCUUCCCCCCAGGAAGUCGGUCAUCUUAGGCCAUCUCCAGCGUGCUGCCCCUGGGCGCAAUGUUAGCGGCCGCCAAGUGUCUGCACAGUUCUGUGCUUGGGACCCAAGGACCUCCUCUAGUUUUAGAUAUCGCUCUGCUGCGAACUUACUGGAAUAUCUUGCGCAAGUGCUUGUUUUUCUUUCUAAACUUCAGUGUUCUCAUUUGUCAGAUAAAGAGAGUUUGCAAUUAUAUGACCUCUUGCAACUUUGAUUUGUGGAAUUCUAUUAUCCAGCAGGCAAAACAGUAGACAUUGGGUGUGACUACCUGUGCCAAGAGGUGUGAAAAGUGGAAUGACCGUCCUCAUAUUGCAUAUGGACAUAGACAUAGUUUUUUAUAUUGAAUGCCUGGGCUAAAUCAAAUAACUUCCUUGUUCUUUAGUUUGCCUAUCUGAUAUGAGAGCAGAAUCAAGGACUAAGAAAUAUUUUAGUUAGUUGUUUUAGAAAUCACAUAUUUCCCCAAGUUGCCUCAGGCAAAAGUGAAGGAUAUGUGGAGUGGUAGGAAAAAGCAUUACAAUUUUAUACAGAUCAAAGGUAGCAUAAUAUAAAGAGUAACAUAAAGAGUACUUAAAUUGGCAUCAGAAGCGUUGGCUUCCGUUUUACUUUUUACUCACUACGCUGACUUAUAUUGUGUGUGGUCUUUUCUCCACACUUCAGUUUGUCUCAUCUAUAAAAUGAAAAAAUUAUACAACUCUUUGUUUCUUGUCAAAUUUUAAAAAGUUUGAAUAGUUAUGGAUUUCCUUGAAUGUAUACUACAUAUGGGAGGAAUUUUCUAUUUGUGGUAAGAUUAUGUUUUUCUCUUAAAAUUAUUUAUUUAUUUAUUUAUUUAUUUUUUUGGCCAGGCACGCUGGCAUGUGCCUGUAAUGCUAGCUACUCUAGAGGCUGAGGCAGGAGGAUUGUUUGAGCUCAGGAGUUUGAAACUAGUCUGGGCAACAUAGUAAAACCCCAUCACACACAAGAAAUCAUUUUUUAGGUAAGUCCAUUUAAAAAAUAUAUUAAGUAAAAAAUAGUCAAAGUCAUGAAGGGGAAGGUUAGAUAGUCUCUGAAUUCUUUUUCUGAGACUCAAGUCCUGAUUUAUCUCAUUCUCAAAAUGGAAGCCAACACAUCUGGAAAGGAGCAUCUGCUGAGGAUUUUUGUUAUUGAGUCUAGGUUUGGCAGUUGACAGCUAAAAUUUCUUUAACAUACUGGAAAACAUGAUCAAAGGAAUCUUUAUUCCCUAUGCAUUUUGGAGUGAUGUUGUUCCCAGUUAAUUAGUGAUAGAAGUGGACCUUACCAUUCACAGGUGUAGAACAAGCAAGCUGGGAGUGCCCUCAGGCCAUGAGGGCAGGCAUUAUGUAGUAAAAUAUCUUUCAGUGCACCAGAUAUACCUUUAGUAAACUGAUGUGGUACCCGGCUAAGCAGGAUCGAAAGCUGAUAUUCCCAUAAUAAUAAUAUCAUUUAGCAAGUACUUACCUUGUGUCAAGCAAGUUUGUAAGAACUUUAUAUGGAAUAUCUCAUUGAAUAUUCAUGACAACUCUAUAAAGUAAAUACUGUUAUUACCACUUUUUUCAGAUGAGAAACCUGAUACACAGAGCAAGUAAGUACCAUACCUAAGGUCACAGAGCUAAUAAAGAGAAGAGUUAGGCUUCAAGCAUCUAUCUUUUCUGUUCCAUGUGAAAGCUAUUCCAUUACUGAAUUCUCCCACUAAAGUUACCAGGUUCACUUUGUUAAAUAUGAAUUCAUCUAACUGAUGGUCAGCUUUUGUAUAGAACAGCAUUUCUUCCCUGAUUUGACUUUUUAUUCUGUGCUUUCUUAGCUCUUUGCCUUGGGGCCCAGACUGCUUCUGCUCUAAAAUUAAAGUUGUUACUACAUGGCGUGAAACUGCUUUGGCAGUCUGAGGUCCAGCAUCUGGCCAAAGAGAUCCUGGCUGCAAGCCUGAAUGCUCAUAUGGAGCUGUACCUGGCAGGAACAGGUGUGAUGAGGAGGAUCCAGCCCGGGAUUCUGAGAGAAAGGCUGGAUCUGUUGCAAUAUAGUAUUUAUGAGAGAGAAGGUAGCCUGAUGGGAUCCAAUGAGAAGAAUUGAUGAAAGAGCUAGUGAAAAAUAACUACCCUCAUCUCCAUUCAGUUGAGAGCUAAUUCUGAAGUCUUUUCACCCUGGUGGCCUUUUCUGCCAGAAAUCAGUGUUAUAGCCAGAGGCCCAGAAUUUGCAAGUUCCUGAAAAGGGCCUGGAAAGCUGGAGGAGGAAUGGUCAUGAGAGAAGAUGGGCAUCAGCUGGAUGUGGGAUUUUUUCCCCCAGCUUUAUUGAGGUAUACUUCAGAAAUAAAAUAUUGUCUAUAUCAUGGUAUACAGUAUGAUGUUCUGAUAUAUAUAUAUAUAUAUAUAUAUAUAUAUAUAGUGAAAUGAUUCCCACAAUCAAGAUAAUUAACAUAUCUAUCACCUUACAGUUACCGUAUUUUCUUUUUUUGUGUGUAGUGAGAACAUUUAAGAUCUACCCUCUUAGCAGAUUUCAUGUAUACAAUGCAAUAUCAUUAACUAUAGUCACCAUGCUGUACCUUAGCUCACUAGGCAUUUGAAAUGUUCUGCCUUUAAAAUACCUUAACAGUUCAUAAACAUUGUAACAUGUUAGAACUCUUAUCUAUACUUUCUUUGGUGCAAUAUCAUGCUUUAAUAAAUUCCUAACAUGAGUUCUUGAGUGAACUUUCUAAUAAGUUAGAACUCUUGGCCAGGCAUGAUGGCUCAUGUCUGUAAUCCCAGCUGUUUGGGAGACUGAGAUGGGAGGAUUACUUGAUGCCAGAAGUUUGAGACCAGUCUGGCCAACACAGCAAGACCCCUAUCUCUAUUAAUUUUAAAAAAGAAGGGAAAAAAAGUAGAACUCUCCAAGCCAUGAAAUACCUUGUGAGAACCAGAGACUUUGAUAUAACAGUCCUAACACAUUUCAGUACAAGUAACUAUCCUCCCAUUUCAACUUCCCCCUUAUAUACAUUUGAACUUGCUCAUGAACAUUAGCAUGCUCCUUUUUGAAAUCAAAUCUAUUCAACAAACAUUCCCUGAGCAUCUGCUCUAUUGCAAGGCUUGUGCUGAGUGCUGAGCAGGAGAUGCAAGUGCCUUAGACAAAAUUGAGGUUUUGUAUUCACUGAAUUUUUGCAUUCUGUGACAAAAGCAUGAUCCUGUCCUCAUAGAAUAUAUAGUCUACCCUGGCUGCUCUAUUGUGCUCUAUCAUCUCUGGGGGAAAAAAAAACAGAAAGAACCUCAGUUUGCCAUUGAUUUCAGCUUAUUCCUCAAUCAGAACUGUUCAUUAGGAACAGUGAAACAAUUAUUCUACAUUCUUAUUAAAUAUGCCACUUUCAGAUACUCAUAUGUAAAAUGUUAAAUUGUUCUGAAGCAAGACAACUGCAGGACCAACACAUUGGAUCAUGUUUUUGAUUAACUGUCUUUUAGUGUUUCUUCAAAUUCAUUUAUCUUUAACUGUUUAAUCUAAUCCUUGUGUCAGUGUGGGGCAGCAGUGAAGUCAGACUGCCUAAAUUUAAGUGCUAACCUCUGCACCUCUGUUUUAGUCCAUUGAGCUGCUAGGACAAAGUACCAUAGAUUGGGUGGCUUAUAAACAACAGAAAUUUAUUUCUCAUGGUUCUGGAGGCUGGGAAGUCUAAAAUCAGGGUGCCAGAAUAUUGGGUUUCUGGUGAGGGCCCACUUCCUGGUCCUGGUAUGGCAGAAGGGGCAAGCAACCUCUCUAAGGCCUCUUUUAUAAGGGUGCUAAUUCCAUUCCGUGAGGGCAGAGCCCUCAUGAAAUAAUCACCUCCCAAAUUUUCUACCUCCUAAUGCCAUCAGCUUGGGACUUAGGAUUUCAACAUAAGAAUGAGGGCAGGAAGGGGGGACAAAAAUCAGACUAUAGCAAUUCCUAAUUGUAUGACCUUAGACAGUUAACAUUUCUCAUACUCAGUUUACCUACCCCACAGGGCUGUUGUGAGUUGCAGAGGAGCUAAUGUGUGUGUAUAUAUAUAAAGCACUUAAUACAAUAUCUGGCACCUAUUGCUCAAUAUAAGUCAGCUAUUACUGUUAAUAUGCGCUAUGAGAAUGGAGUUGGUGAAUUCCAUUAGGCCAUAAACAACUCAGAAAGUCAGAUAAACCUUAAAUGGUCUGAAAUAGAAGUUAUAAAUACUUAUCAUUACUAUUUGUAUUAUUCUUAAGUACAUUUUAUGUAUCGAUUUCUAAGGCCCUCACAGUCUUAUUUUCACUUGUUUACUACAAUGUUUGUAUGAGAUAGGUAGAGUGGAGAUUCUGACCUGAGUUAACUGAGGCCUAAAGAGACUAGAUGAUUUGUUUAGGGUCACACUUGAAAGCCUAAGUCUCCUAACUCUUAAUUUCAAAUCCUUCCACUAGAUUUUAGAUUUGCACUAAAAUCUCUUAGUUUUUAGUGCAAAUGUUAUUGUAAUUUAAUCAUCAAUAAACUAUAAUGGAAAAACUUCUUCUGGGUGAUAAAAUUUUGCCAAUAAUAAUGUUCUUCCUUCUGGUUACAUAACGCAAGCUUUUUCUGAAGCAGUAUACAGCUCUGCUGGUCUGAAGUUUCUAAUUUAGAUUGUUUUUGAUUGUAUUUAUAUAUUCAUUUGUUGUAUAUAUGUAUAUUUCAGUCACAAACUUUAUAUAGUUCACAUAGGCUCAUAGUUGGGAGGAGGAAGGGCAGGAUGUAGGAAGUCUCAAAUAGGAGGAAAUUCCUGGAGAAGGUGUAGAUAGAGAGAAUGUUGUAUGUAACUCUGUUUUGCAGGACCCAGGAUAGCUUUUCUUAAAUCUGUGAGGGAUUAUCUUAUCUGAGCCAUGGAAUCAAAAGUAUUUGUCAUAGUUUGAAGAGAGGAGGCCUGUAUGUGAAAGACAGAAGGAAGAGAAGUUAAAGAGACUGAUCUACUUCCCACAGAGCCUUCUUUCCUCCUACUGGGGUCCGCUUUGACAGAAGAGAGCUUUUAUUUCCUUUGCUAAAGUGGGAAAAGGAGGAAGAGGGUCAUGGUGGGAGAAUGAAAAGGUUGCCUCUGUCUUUGCUGCCUGAUCCCCAAAGAGCCUAAUGGGAGAGCUGAGGAGGCAUCCCAGGGGAGGCCAGCUGAAGCAAGCUGGCUGUGACAGAGCAAUCAUCACACCAGGUUCCGCUUAUUAUUAUUUUUUGAGACAGAGUCUCCUUCUGUCACCCAGGCUGGAGUGCAGUGGCGUGAUCUUGGCUCAUUGCAACCUCUGCCUUCUGGGUUCAAGCGAUUCUCCCGUCUCAGCCUCCCAAGUAGCUGGGACUAGAGGCGCAUGCCACCAUGCCUGGCUACUUUUUGUUUUUAGUAGAGACGAGGUUUCACCAUAUUGGCCAGGCUGGUCUCGAACUCCUGACCUCAUGAUCCACCCGCCUUUGCCUCCCAAAGUGCUAGGAUUACAGGUGUGAGCCACCGCGCCUGGCCUAUUUUUAGUGAUUUUAAAAAAACUUUAGGUUUUGGGGUUGUUUUGUUGUUGUUUUAACGUAGUCUAGUUUCUGUAGGCUGACUAGUUUCUCAGUUACAGAAGGGGCUGACUUCUCCAGUGUGCCUGCAAGCAGAAGAAUGGGUUGUGCAAGUUUAGGUCUGGAUCUGCAUAAGGUAGGAGCCAUAAGGUAGUACCCAAGUAUUCUUUGGGUACUAGAAAAUUUGGAAGUCCACGUAGUUGAUGGUUACUCCAUUUCGGCCCUUUUACACUAGCGGAGGGUGUUUAGAAAGGCUAUAUAUAUAUAUAUUAUCCUUAGUUUUUAGUUUAAAAGUAUCUUUGGAAACUUUACUUUUAACUAAUCUGGAAUCUACAAUGUAAGUCCCACAGUAUGCUUGCAGUGCAAAUAGAGCUCCAAAACUAGUCUUUUAGUCUCCUACUUUUUUUCCAACCCAACUUACCUAAGCUCUUCCGAUGUGGGAAUUCUGGAUGCCACCACUGCCUUGUCUCCUUUUUCUUAUGCCACCCAAUCCGAACCCUGAUGCUAACAGUGCCCAGCUUUAGGUAGAAUGUCCAGGGACUUCAAGCUACAGCCCUCUUGAAGGCUUAGGAUUUCAUUUUUCAGCUUUGGUAAUACAGGAAAUUUUCCCUGAGUUUUUUCGACUUUUAAACAAACACUAUUUCCCACUAUUCAGCUGACCUUUGUGCAGUGGCUAAGCUCUCCCUUAAGGAAGAGACCAUUCCAGGCAGCUGGCCAGGUGUCCAACUAUUUGUCUGUGCUCUUGGUUCCUGCAUGAAGGGCUCAAAAGAGAGAUGAAAGAGAAAAAUGUCCCCAGCCUGAAUGGCUUUACCCCAUUUCCUCCAUUUAUACCAGCUCUCCAGAAAUUCCCAUGGUCUCUUAGGCCUUGGGAUGAGUGUUAUUGCUAGCUCCAGAAACAUGCUUUUGGUCAUCCCUUCCUGCUGCCACUCACUCACCCACCACCUAGGGCCUUUCCCUCUUCUUUUGUAUGAAGGUGAGAGAAAAAGAGAAUAUGCCCCACCUCCUCCCCUUUGAGGCUCAAGGAAGCAUAAAUUCUGGGUUUUAGAGGGCAUGUUUCCAAGUGAGGGUGAGAGUUUGACCUUUUUCAUUCUUUCUCAAGUAAUCCUGCUAGCUUCUGAGCAGGGUGACUGUAGCAUGCCCUGGACCUAAAGAAAACACUAAAUUCCGGGCCGAACACAGUGGCUCACGCCUGUAAUCCCAGCACUUUUGGAGGCCAAGGUGGGCAGAUCACGAGGUCAGGAGAUUGAGACCAUCCUGGCUAACACAGUGAAACCCCGUCUCUACUGAAAAUACAAAAAAUUAGCCGGACGUGGUGGCGGGCACCUGUAGUCCCUGCUAUUCGGGAGGCUGAGGCAGGAGAAUGGCGUGAACCCGGGAGGCGGAGCUUGCAGUGAGCCGAGAUCCCGCCACUGCACUCCAGCCUGGGCCACAGAGCGAGACUCCGUCUCAAAAAAAAAAAAAAAAAAAGGAAAACACUAAAUUCAGACACCACACACAUAAGGCUUCCUGCCUAUGACUGUGAAAGGGAUAAUCAAGAAAGGAAAAGAUAAAGGGCAAAGGAAGGAGAAAGGAUGGAGAGAAGGGCUGGAAAGGAAGAGGUUGGAGAAAGAAUAGCCUGCAGUUAGAGAAAAGGGAGAAAAGUGAAGAAAGGGGAGAGGAAAGAGAACGUUUCUGAGUGGGCAGGACUGACUUGUCUAUUGGCAUUAUUUAUUGCUUUUGGACUUAUAUCCUGACUCCUUUAGUUUUCACGUGGCUGUAAUUUUAUCAGACUGCCCUGAAAGCUCAGUUCUUCUGACCCGGAAAUUCUUUUCCCAAAGACAGAGAAGAAUUGUGAUUUAUCUUUUCAUGUUUCUGCCUUCUUCAGCUUUUCUUUAGCAUCCCAGUAGGAUGAUUCUUGGAGAAAAGCCACAUGGCCCAUGUUGGCUGAACUUUAGAUUCAAAUAAAGGCUACUUGCCACAGCCAGGGCCUGAUGGUUUUCAUUAUUGCCACAGUACCUAUGUAAGUUUGAUGUGACUUAUCAUAUACUUCAGAAAGUAGUUGAUAGUCCUUAGUAACUAUGGUCAUAAAUAGAAAGGUCCUUAUUUGAAGGAAACACUCCUACUUAAUCCCAGGAAAAAUCAUUUCCAACUGUGUGUGUGUCUUUAUUGUGCAAACCCUUGCACUUAGUAGAUACUCAAUAAACAUUUAUGGAAUCAGUAUCUACAUCUGCAAAAAUUGGGUGAUAGUUUUUUCUCUGAACAUGUUUUGAGUAAAAUUUCAUAAUUUUUGUUAUCAUUAAGGUUGUCAUUGCUUGAUUAUUCUCUACUCCUUAUUAACUGAAAUGAUAAUAAAGCCAUAAAGGUUUAUGAAACACUCACUAGGACAUUAAUAAAAUUUGUUUUGUGCCCUGCCUUGUGGUAUGGGCUGUGGGAGGGGUGAAAAAGAAUACUCAAUGACAGUUAAUGGUCUAUUUGAGGAGGUAAGACUGACAUAUAUGAAAAAAACAAAAUGUGAACAAAUUAUACUUGGAAGUCAACAUGCCAAAGUGAAAAAGUUUGGGAAUGUGCCAAAUCUGGAUUCCAAUCAUGGCCCCACUACUUAUCAGCUGAGUAUCUUUGGAUGAGUGAUUUAACCUUUUUCAGCAUCUGUUUAUUCCUCUGUCAAAAUGAUGCUACCAUAAAAAUGGGAAAUAAAUGACAUACAAUAUGCAAAAUAUAUGAUACUUGGUAUGCAUUCAAUUAUACUGAUGAUAGUAUUAAUAAUACUGUUCUGAUACUUUUGUACAAACCUACUUUAAGGAGAGAUGAAGGAGUUUUUUCUGCUCUAUGAUAGUGGAACAUUUCUAAUGACUUCAUGUGUUAUUUUUUAAUUAAAAUAUUAAGUACUUUUAAAUAAGGGGGAGAAAAAUUGAGGUUUAUUAUUGAAAUUUUUCAUUUGAGCUUCCUGCUUUAAGCCCUAUUCACAUGAUAAAUUUCUGUGUACCUAUGCUUUCUUUUUCUUGUAAUGUUACUCCCUGGAGUUGAACUUGCUUUAUAUAUAUAUUUCAUUUUUAAUAGAAACGGGGUUUCACUAUAUUGCCUAGGCUGGUCUUGAACUCCUGGGCUCAAGUGAUCCUCCUGCCGAGGCCUCCCAAAUUGCUGGGACUACAGCUGUGAGCCACCAUGCCCAGCCUUAACUUGGUUUUAAGACCUCUGAUUUGCCUUGCCUCAAUUACCUCCUUUCUUAUUUUCUUUCCUUUGUUGACUCUCAUACUCUGUUCUCCUAAUUCUCCCCCUUUUCCACUCCCUGCCCACCCUGAAAGACACACACACACACAAUAAGUGGGUGGAGUAAGAAGUCAACGGAGUUGGAUAUAAGCAUUCCUGCUUUUCUGACAUCUCCAGUGUCUUGGAGAACAAGGAUUCUAGAAUGAGGGCUCCUCAUUAUGCUUCCUUUCAACAUUUUUUCUCUGUGUUACUUAAGCUUUCACCCCAAGCAUGUUUGACAGAGAGCCAGUGCAUUCCCCUUACUUUUUACAAAAAUAAAAAAAGAAAGAAAAAGAAAGAAAGAAAGAAAAAGAAAGAAAGAAAGAAAGAAAGAAAGAGAAAGAAAGAAAGAAAAGAAAGAAAGAAAGUUACCGAUCUUAGUAGACCAAAAAGCUAAACUUAUGAAAGUCUCAAUUCUGGGCACAAGCCUGAGAUAACCUCUAAACUCUUUAAGGUUGUAAUUUAUCUAGACAUUGGAUGAAAUAAGAGGACUUGGGCAGAGGGCACUAAUAGAAGCAUAAGAGAAAGUUUGGUUAAAGGAAGGGAUUGAUAAAAGGGAUUAUUUCUAAGAAGAGUGGUGAGGUUUCACUCAUUAAGGAAGGAAACAUUUUAUAAAUAAGUUAUUAACUUUAUAAGUAAGUAUAAAGCCUUGUUUCUAUAUUUAUUCUCCAUAUAAUAUUUUACAAAAGUGGCAUCCAAUUUAGCUGACCCCUUCUCAGACAUUUCUGAAAUCUACCUAACUCUAAGAUGGGAUACUGUGACUAUUUCCACAAAUAGAUGCUGAACUAAAGAAUUAUUUUUCCAGGGCAUUAAUGACAUUUUGGUAGAAAAUAGUCUUUGGUCAAAUGACAUCGUGGGACAGUAAUAAUAAAUUUAAUGAAGCAUGUCCUAUGUGACAGGCACUGGUCCAGCACUUCACAUUUUAAACCAUUAUGAUAUACAUUUUACAAGUGAGGAGACUGAGGCCAGAAAAGUUAAGUAACUCCCUUCCUGCUAGCUCAGCGUACUUCCUAGGGUUUGGGGAAUGAUGAGGUGAGAGUAUGCAUAUAAAGCACCCACAGUGCCUGGUACUUAUUAUUUACAAUACAUUGUAGUUAUUUUUAUAAUAGUCAUUGAUUUUGUUUUUGUGGUUUUGUGAUUAAUGGUAACUCAGAAAUAGGACUUAAAGCAGGAAGCUCAAAACAAAUGAAAUGUAGGCUUUGCUCUACAUUUUUGUUUCUCCCUAAUGCUUUUUACACUCAUGCUAUAAAAUUACAUUUGUUUAUUGCUUACAUUUCCCCACUAGAAUGCAGGCUUAAUGAAGGCAGGGAUGUGUACCUGUUUUGUUCAUUGAGGUAUCCAAAGUGCCUAAAACAAAGUUUCACAUAUAUUAGAACCUCAGUCAGUUUUUGUUGAGUAAAUAAAUUGCCCAAGGUCGUACAACUUGGGAAUAACAGAGUCUAGAUUUGCAUGCAAACAAACUGGCUUCAGUGACCAGUCUCUUAACUGCUAGUCUAUACUAUGUCUCUACCUGAAGUACAUGAAUCGUUUAUCAAUUUCUGAUGCCAUAUAAAACAUGAUGCUUUUCAUUCACAGCUGCCUUUAUAAACCGUAGGCAAUUGUGGCCUAUAGAGAGAGAAGUCAAUGGAGUCUUCUGCAUCAUUGCCAAGGGAUUUUUCUGGGAGAAUUUCCAGUCUGUAUCAAGUCUCUGUGGGCUCAGUUUAGCCCAGCUUAUGUAUACUAUGGUCAUUCUGGGUAAAGAAGGGUGAUGUCAUAAAAACUUGUGCAUUGUCUUUUAAGUCUUGGCUAUGGCUAAACCCAGAGAAAAUGAUUUUUUUUAUGUCACUGUGACCUUUUGGUGUUCAUUUCUUUCACAUUCUCAUUCCCAUUUCCUGAGUCACAAGAAGAACUCUCUUAAUGAAGAUCAAAAGUCAGAGGAAGCUCAAUUGUAGAUUUCAUUCAGAAAUGAAAAUGCACUACAAAACCUCUUCAGAAGCCUCUUUCUACACUGAGUUGAUUUUAGGCUAACAGUCAAGUGGGCAGGCUUGAUUCAGAUGACAGCUUAAAGAGCCCUCGUGUCUGAGUCACUUCAGUGUCUGCACCAGUUUUCCAGUUUUUGCCUUCAUUACAUUAGUAUGGAUUAGGGUAUGAUCAGCAAUACUUUUUCCACCUGCACUUUUAAGAAGUGUAAAACGUGGGUGGUGGUACUUUUAAAUUAGAAGAACAGAUGUAGCAGACAUGACAUCUUUUUCUUUCACUCCUCCAUCCUCAUAGCCUAGAGACAUCAGAUGCAAUCCUUUCUCAUUUGCCUAACCUCUGAAAACAACUUCUCAGUGUCUUUCUUAGACUAAGGGGUGCCUCUCAGAGGAAGACAGAAACAGCUAUUCAUAUGAAAAUGUCUAGAGUCCUGGGGAGUGUAAUGUGUCUGUCCUAUACUAAAGAUGGAAUAGAUACCUUGACUUUAUUUUUAAAAUGGCAACUAGACAAGAGGAUUCCAUGUGUUCCAAUCUACAUGUAACAGGGCAUGGAUAAUGUAGCCUGCUCCCUCCAACAGGUUAUGAGGCCUUCAAGUCACAUUUGCAUUCCCUAUCAUUGUCUGGCAUCUUUUCUAGUGGUCGGCUAUUGUUUCUUAUGAGAAGGUGUUUCCCUGGACUAUGGUAUCUUUCUGUCUGCAUCACUGCCAGUAGUUAGGCCUUAAGUAAGUACCUUUUCUCCUUACAGAAUAUCCAUUACUCUAAUUGUAAAUCUGGAGGAAAUAUACUGUAACAGGGAUAGCUCAAAUCUAGUUUAUGGGGAAGAGUGUAGAAUAGAAAUACAUAACGGGUUUAGGGUGUGAUAUACUCUCUGGCACUUACCAGUGCAGUGUUAUUACUUGCAUAGGAUGCUUAACUUCUCUGAACCUCAGCUAUAUCAUGUGAAAAUGGAAAAAUAAUUUGUACUUCCUAGGGUUUGGGGAAUGAUGAGAUGAGAGUAUGCAUAUAAAGCACCCACAGUGCCUGGUACUUAUUAUUUACAAUAAAUUGUAGUGAUUUUUAUAAUAGUCAUUGAUUUUGUUUUUGUAGUUUUGUGAUUAAUGGUAACUCAGAAAACACUAAAAUCAUGUAGACUUAAUAUGCUUGUAGGAAAGACAUGAGAACUGCUUAUCUUCAUCCAUUCAUCUUAACUUGUCCCAGUCUUAACCUAGCCAAAGCAUGACUCAGCGUUACAAUGGCUAUCACCAACCUUUUCCACCCAGACUUCCCCAUUUCAGUAACCUGCAGCUUUUCCUUUCAGUUGAUAAGACCAAAAACAUUAGAUUCAUCACUGUGUCCAUAUAUAAUAACAAAAUCAGCAAAUGCUAUUGGCUCUAACCUUAAAAAACAGAAUAUCCUAAAUCUAAUCACUUCUGUUCACCUCCAGUCUACCAUUCCUGAUCCAAACUACCACCAUCUCUCUUUUAGAAUAUCAUAAUAGCCUCUUAACUAAUCACUCCUCGUCUAUCCUUGCCCCUAACAAUUUAUUCUAACACAUCAGCUAGAGUGAUUUUGUUUUAACCUAACUUAGAUCAGAUCACACCUCCACUCAGAUCCCUUCAGUGGCUUCCCAUAUUAUUCAAACUGAAAGCCAAAGUGCUAUACCUGACAUAAAAGAAUCUGCAUGAUUUGGGUCCUGCUCCCUCUCUGACCCCAUCUCCUACUCCCUGUUUCCACUCACUCACUCUAUUCAAUUCAGAGCAACUUUGCACUUGUCAUUUUUUCUGCUUGGAAUUCUCUUCCCUCCAAUAUUUAUAUGGCUCACUUUCUUUCUCUUUUUCUUUUUCUUUCUUUCUUUCUUUUUUUUUUUUUUUUUUGAGACGAAGUCUCGCUCUUGUACCCAGGCUGGAGUGCAAUGGCACGAUCUUGGCUCACUGCAACCUCCACCUCCCCAGUUUAAGUGAUUCUCCUGCCUCAGCCUCCUGAGUAGCUGGGAUUACAGGCGCCUACCACCACGCCUGGCUAAUUUUUGUAUUUUCAGUAGAGACGGGGUUUCACCAUGUUGGCUAGGCUGGUCUCGACCUCCUGACCUCAAGUGAUCUACCCGCCUCGGCCUCCCAAAGUGCUGGGAUUACAGAUGUGAACCACCAUGCCUGGCCUACAUGGCUCACUUUCUUAAUUUUUCAGGCCUCCAUUCAAAUAGUGCCUCCCAGAGAGACCUGUGUAAAACAGCAACACACUUCCCAGCACUCUCCAUCCCUUUUACUCACUCUUAGUUUCUCUGACAUAUUAUAUAUUGUUUAUUGUCCAUUUUCCCUAACUAAAAUUUAGCUCUAUAAGGCAUAUUGUUUUGUUUAUCAAUGUAUCCCUAGUACUGAACAAAUGAAAAAUUUGCUGUGUGUCUCUUAUGUUUUAAACACUGUAGCACUACAGAUAAAACAUGAACUCCAGCCUCCACUACAGAUAAAACAUGAGCUCCAGUGCUAAAACAUAGGCCAAUCACAGUCGCUUAUGCCUAUAAUCCCAGCAAUUUGAGGUGGGAGGAUUCCUUGAGCCCAGGAGUUUGAGACCAGUCUAGGCAACAUGGUGAGACCCUGUCUUUACAAAAAUAAAAAAAAUAAUAAUAACCAGGCAUGAUGGUGUGUGCCUGUAGUCCCAGCUACUUGGGAGGCUGAGGCUGGAGGAUCACUUGAGCUCAAGAGGUUGAGGCUGCAGUGAGCUGUGAUCAGGCCCUUACCUUCCAGCCUGAGUGACAGAGCAAGGGCCCUGUAUCAAAACAAAAACAAAAACUACUUUAAAUGAAGGCUUGUUGGUAAUCAUUUCACAAUGUGUAUAUAUAUCAAAAUAUCAUGUUAUAUACCUUAAAAUGUACAAUUUAUUUCAAUAAAGAUGGAAAAUAAUUAUUUCAUGGAACCUUGCUAAAGCAAACAAUAAAUUGAGUAUCUACAAAGUGUCUAUGUUGGCCCUCCAGAAAGAAAAAAAACAGAUAAGGGCCAACAAAGAAAUAAUAUAACUAUACAAUUCCCAUUAUGCUCAACGCUAUACUAAAGGUCUUUGCCAGGUACUGAUAGAUUAGAAUAGGGAGCUUGAUGGCAUGAAGGAUGACAGUGUCAUCAGGAGGGUAAUGCUUGAGCUAGAAUUUGAGCAGAAUUUUGAAGGAUGAACAUUCAGUAAGCAACUGAGGGGUGAAGGGUGGUGGUAAGAGUGGUUCAUUGAGAAAGCAUUCCAGAUGAAGGGAAGAGCAAGUAAAAUAACAAGGAUAUUUAAAAGAGUAUAGCAACAGAUGGAGAGAAACUUAGGAUAGAGUGAAUAGGAAGAGCAUGUGAAACAUACAAAAUUCCAUUCACUGGAGAGGAGUUCUGAUAGACUGAAAGAACUCAUGAUGGUUUUGAAAAUUAUUUGAAUCAUAUCCUUUAGGCCUGGUUUAUGUUCCUGGGGUCAGUUUAUCUUCUACUUUAGGUAAGGAACAGAACAAUAACAAACAUACUUUAGUAUCAAUCCUUAGUUCAGCUCACCAGCUUUGGGUAAAAUUGUGAAUAUAUCCUUUCGCCAGAGCUUUGGCAGAAAAAUCUAUUACUUAAUUACCUUAGAAUACCUUUGCUUGUCAACAAGAGACCAUUUUAUGCCCCAACUCCCAACCUCAAUAGAAAAAAAGUAGAAAAUAAAGAAGUAUGUCCAUAUUUGACAUAAUAUAGGAAGGUUUCUCUUUAAAUAAAUGGCUUAGCAUUUAUCUGUUUGACUGUUUACUUCAGAGCUGCUUUUAAAGGUUUUGCACCCAUCUAUAAGUCAGAUACUCCCAUGUAAUGUACCAAAUGGGAUCAAAACUGAGUCAGUUUUCUAACACUGCAUUCAGUCUAGAUUAGAAAAAGUUUCUUAAAUUGGCAAAUUAGAUCAUAAGAACAAAGCAAAACAAACAAACAAACAAAAAACCCACAGUGUAGUUGGUGUGCAAAUGUAGCUGAUGAGAUUUGGAUUGAGUGUCAUAUUGUGAGGUGUUAUGAACUUCUCAAAACAUCAUUUCUGUGAACACAUGAAAAUUGAGUGUCUGCAAUGUGCAAAAAAGUGUAAUCAGGGAGAGAGAGAGAAAAAUUACUAGUCAUGUACUUAAAAAAUCUUAUACCAGGUUACACUUUGGGGUGGGGUAAAUGGAGUGCCACUGGUAGAGUUGAGCAGUGUAGAUGAUUCACCUUCCUACACCAUCUAGAUCUAAUCAGUUGCAAAAUGAAAAUGUCUUUAAAUCUCUGUUAUAUCUGAAAAAAGUGGCAGAAAGGAGACAGGACUAAAUUGCACCUCCCACUUGGACAGACAGAACAGGGUGUGGAGACUCACAUCAUGAACUUUCACUCAAAGAACUACUGCAGGAAUAGACCAGAAAAGCUGAGAGAAUCUACAGACCCUUUGAAGGAAGAGGAUUACUCCUGCAGGACCCGGGAGAUAGCCCAAAUACUAAGCUGGGCAGAGAAAUCGAGCUGCAAAAUGACCUACAGAUAUUACAGUUUUAUUCUUGGAAAAUGGAGGUUGUCUAUUAGUGUGAUGGUAACAACCAACUAAUAAAAUUUGGAGACUAGA